GACGAACGCUGGCGGCGUGCUUAACACAUGCAAGUCGAACGGAAAGGCCCUGCUUUUGUGGGGUGCUCGAGUGGCGAAUGGGUGAGUAACACGUGAGUAACCUGCCGCUGACUUUGGGAUAACUUCAGGAAACUGGGGCUAAUACCGGAUAGGAGCUCCUGCUGCUUGGUGGGGGUUGGAAGUUUCCGGCGGUUGGGGAUGGACCCGCGGCUUAUCAGCUUGUUGGUGGGGUGGUGGCAUACCAAGGCUUUGACGGGUAGCCGGCCUGAGAGGGUGACCGGCCACAUUGGGACUGAGAUACGGCCCAGACUCCUACGGGAGGCAGCAGUGGGGAAUAUUGCACAAUGGGCGGAAGCCUGAUGCAGCGACGCCGCGUGCGGGAUGACGGCCUUCGGGUUGUAAACCGCUUUCGGCUGUGACGAAGCGUGAGUGACGGUAAUGGGUGAAGAAGCACCGGCUAACUACGUG
rnacentral:rRNA from 1 species